rnacentral:rRNA from 1 species
GACGAACGCUGGCGGCGUGCUUAGCACAUGCCAGUCGAACGGAAAGGCCCUGCUUUUGUGGGGUGCUCGAGUGGCGAACGGGUGAGUAACACGCGAGUAACCUGCCCUUGACUUUGGGAUAACUUCAGGAAACUGGGGCUAAUACCGGAUAGGAGCUCCUGCUGCAUGGUGGGGGUUGGAAAGUUUCGGCGGUUGGGGAUGGACUCGCGGCUUAUCAGCUUGUUGGUGGGGUAGUGGCUUACCAAGGCUUUGACGGGUAGCCGGCCUGAGAGGGUGACCGGCCACAUUGGGACUGAGAUACGGCCCAGACUCCUACGGGAGGCAGCAGUGGGGAAUAUUACACAAUGGGCGGAAGCCUGAUGCAGCAACGCCGCGUGCGGGAUGACGGCCUUCGGGUUGUAAACCGCUUUCGCCUGUGACGAAGCGUGAGUGACGGUAAUGGGUAAAGAAGCACCGGCUAACUACGUG